rnacentral:rRNA from 1 species
CCUACCUGGUUGAUCCUGCCAGUGUCUAUAUGCUUGUUUCAAAGACUAAGCCAUGCAUGCCUAAGUACAGCUCGGUGGGGUAACCUACCGGGCGAAACCGCAGACGGCUCAUUAAAUCAGUUGUGGUCUAAGUGGGCUACAGUUUUCCUUACUUGGAUAACUGUGGAAAAUCCAGAGCUAAUACAUGCGAUUCGAAGUCCUCAGCCAAAGCUUUGCGCUUCGGCGUACGGUGACUAACUGGGGAUGCUUUUAUUAGACCGAGGCGCGCGCACACGUAGCUUUGCGCCCGCUCCGGCGGGAAUGCGGCUGCUUGUGUGUCGCUCGUAAGCGCUUUAUGGUGACUCUGAAUAACAUUGAUAAGCGUGCUUUAACUAGCACGCUGCCUACUUACGAGUGACUGCCCUAUCAGCUACUAACGUAUGUUAUACGCGAACGUUGGCUAUAACGGGUAACGGGGAAUCAGAGUUCGAUUCCGGAGAGGCAGCCUGAGAAACGGCUACCACGUCUAAGGACGGCAGCAGGCACGCAAAUUACCCAAUCCCAGCACAUGGGGGAGGUAGUGACGAUAGAUACUGAUGCGGGUCGUUCUUCGGAACACUCGCAAUUGGAAUGGCUAUUUUCUAAAAACCCUAUCGAGAACCUACUGGAGGGCAAGCCUGGUGCCAGCAGCCGCGGUAAUUCCAGCUCCAGUGGCGUAUGCCAAUGUUGCUGCGGUUAAAAGGCUCGCAGUUGAAUGUCGGUUAAUAUACGCGUAGGGAUGCCGGGACGUUGCAAGCUCUGCUCGCCUCUGUGCAGCAUUGUGAGCUGUCUCUCCAAGUGCAUCUCUGGCGGGCUAACGAUUAGAUCGGUGGCACAGAGUGAGUCGCUCGUCGCGCCAUCCUUUCGGGGUUGGCCGGCGGGUCUCGUUCGCACGUGUCGCCGAUUGACACCUUGAGUAAAUCAGAGUGCUUAAAGCAGUCGUUGAAACACUACGGCUGCGACUUACCCUCUCGCGAGGCACGGGUCGUAUGUCUAUGGUGACGUCGUAAGACGUUUGGACAUUGUCUUUGCUUUGCAUGGUACGUCGGAAGACGCCGUGUGAGUUGGUUGCGCUUACGGUCAGACACACCAGCUGUGUGUGCGCGUGCACCAACGAGCUCGGAAUGAACUGAAAGGGAUGGCUCGAAGGCAUUGGUAUUGCGGGGCGAGAGGUGAAAUUCUAUGACCCCCGCAAGACUUCCCGAAGCGAAAGCGUCUGCCUAGGACGUCUUCAUUAAUCAUGAACGAAAGUUGAAGGAUCGAAGGCGAUCAGAUACCGCCCUAGUUGCAACCGUAAACGAUAUCAACCAUCAAUCCGUCAAAGCGUUCCCUUGCGUUCUCGUGGUCUGGCUUCGCGGCCGGCCUCGGGAGCAAAGUGUAAGCGCUUGAUGGGCAGCUCUUCUAUCACGGGAAACCAGAGUGUUUCGGUUCCGGGGGGAGUCUGGUUGCAAAGCUGAAACUUAAAGGAAUUGACGGGAAAGGCACCACCAGGCGUGGAGCUUGCGGCUCAAUUUGACUCAACACGGGAAAUCUCACCAGACCCGAACAUCUCUAACGAUUGACAGAUUGAAAGCUCUUUCUUGAUGAAGUGGAUGGUGGUGCAUGGCCGUUCUUAGUUGGUGGAGUGAUCUGUCUGGUUAAUUCCGAUAACGAACGAGACUCUCCCCUGCUAACGGACCUCAGUGUUUUUUUAGACGGUGCGAUUCGGAUAAAGGGACCAUGGGCGUAAGCCCCGGUCUCAGACGACGUCCACUGAUCCUUGGUACGUUGGUGCAGUUCUCGCCGGUGAUGCUCGCCUCCUGUUCCGCUGUUAACCGGCGGGGCGUCUGGUGGUGCGGUGUCGCCGUGUGUGCGCUCACCGACAAAGUGCCUCGGAGUACGUUUCUUCUUAGAGGGAUUGACGACAUAUAAGUCGUAAGAAACAGGGAGCAAUAACAGGUCUGUGAUGCCCUUAGAUGUUCUGGGCUGCACGCGUGUUACAAUGCCGGUAUCAACGGGUUCUUACACUUUCAGUGGCCUACUCCGAAAGGAGCGGGUAAACCUUUGAAAUACCAACUGCAUACUUACCUCGUGUAAGGCGCAAUUACGGCAUGCUUGGGACUGGGGAUUGCAAUUAUUCCCCACGAACUAGGAAUGCCUUGUAGUGGCGGGUCACAGAACCCGCUGCGAAUCUGUCCCUGCCCUUUGUACACACCGCCCGUCGCUACUACCGAUUGAGUGUACCAGUGAGAUUUUUGGACUGGCGAACCGCGUUCCUCUAGGGGCUCGCGGCGUACGACAAUAAGAGACUCGAACUGGUGCACUUAGAGGAAGCAAAAGUCGUAACAAGGUUUCCGUAGGUGAAC